rnacentral:tRNA from 1 species
GCGCCCGUAGCUCAACUGGAUAGAGCAGUGGACUUCUAAUCCACAGGCUGGGGGUUCGAGUCCCUCCGGGCGUA